rfam:Salmo salar isolate Sally breed double haploid chromosome ssa28, whole genome shotgun sequence.
UUCCUGCAUGACUGUAAGUCGCUUUGGGAAAAAACGUCUGCUAAAUGGCAUAUA